AGACGCUGGCGGCAGGCCUAACACAUGCAAGUCGAACGAAGUCUUCGGACUUAGUGGCGGACGGGUUAGUAACGCGUGGGAACGUGCCCUUUACUUCGGAAUAGUCCCGGGAAACUGGGUUUAAUACCGAAUACGCCCUUUGGGGGAAAGAUUUAUCGGUAAAGGAUCGGCCCGCGUUGGAUUAGGUAGUUGGUGGGGUAAUGGCCUACCAAGCCGACGAUCCAUAGCUGGUUUGAGAGGAUGAUCAGCAACACUGGGACUGAGACACGGCCCAGACUCCUACGGGAGGCAGCAGUGGGGAAUCUUAGACAAUGGGGGCAACCCUGAUCUAGCCAUGCCGCGUGAGUGGAGAAGGCCUUAGGGUAGGAAAGCUCUUUCGCCAGGGAUGAUAAUGACAGUACCUG
rnacentral:rRNA from 1 species